rnacentral:rRNA from 1 species
UACAGAGGGGGCAAGCGUUGUUCGGAAUUACUGGGCGUAAGGGCGCGUAGGUGGCCUUCUAAGUUGAACGUGAAAUCCCUGGGCUCAACCCAGGAACUGCGUCCAAGACUGGGAGGCUUGAAUCCGGGAGAGGGAUGCGGAAUUCCAGGUGUAGCGGUGAAAUGCGUAGAUAUCUGGAGGAACACCGGUGGCGAAGGCGGCACCCUGGACCGGUAUUGACACUGAGGCGCGAAAGCCAGGGGAGCAAACGGG